UUAAAGGCUGGUAGUGGAAGUGAGCAUAUCUCCUUGGUGAUUCCUGCAGAUUUGUGGUCCUCUAAGAGGCAGAGUACUGAUCUUGUAACACCACAGAAUAACUCAGUGAGGAGACCUUGAAAUCUCUGGUCCUAACUUCUGCUCAAAACAAGGUCGCCUCUGAGGCCAGAAUUAUCUGGGGGCUUUAUCCAGUCAGAUCCUAAAAGCCUCCACAAGAAAGAAGACUCCACAAUCUACAUUCUGCAUGAAUAAUAUUUACUGGGACAGAGAGUGAAUGCUGAGUGACUCUAAUUUGUUCUAAUGCUGGAUAAUACCGGCACUUGCUGUACAAAGCAAAAGAGGUUUGGCAAGAAGACCUAAGAUAGAGUAUUAGUCUGCAGGAGAAAGAUGUACACUCACAUCCUAGUCCUAAAUGAGUAAGAGUAAAUACAAGUACCAGGCAGAAGUGUGCUUCCUACAGCGUUUCCACUGAGUGUAAGCAACUGCUACCGCUUCUUUGGUUCUUGAAAGUGCUCACAGGCGUCUGUCUAAAUGUGCCACUGUGCUGCAUGAAAACACUUCUGCUGCUGCCCUGGAAAAAUAUAAGACUUCAGUGCUGCAGCAAAAUGAAUCUCAGACAAAUUAAUUGUAUCUGGCAGGUAGGAAAUUGCAAAUAAACCGUAGUAGGCGGGAGAAAUGAACGUAAAGCCUUUUGCAAGGCAAGUUGCCUCCAGGAGAUCUGACUGCUGAGGGCAGGAGGAGGCACAGCAGUGCUGGCAAGCAGCUGAGCAGCAGUCAGGCUCACUGGCUUUGUGCAGUAACUCCAAGAUGAUGCCUUUAUGCCUGUCUCAUGCUCCUCACACUGAAGUCCCAUUCUCUGAAGUCACCUACAGCCUUGAGCCCAGCUGCCGGUCUUGAUUUGCCACUGUUAUCUUCCUACUGCUAAAAUACCUGCACACUCAGAGUUGUUACAUGCUUGCAGAGGAUGUUGCUCUGGUGCUUUAGAAUGUGAUUUACUGAUCAAGCAAGUGAGGGUCAACAAUACAAAUGAAGCAAUCCCAAAAGGAAGAUAGAGAAGAAUGUAAUGUAUGAGCAUGAUCGCACAGCUGAGAUAUCAGAGGUGGUUCACUUGAUUUGAUUCCUGCUUUUUUGUUUUCUAGUAGGUUUCUGUGACAAGCAAACACUUCCAGAACCAUUUCAUCUCUUGCUGCUGCCCUCCAUGACACCUAAAAAGCUAGAGAGAUGUCCUAUUGGCAUUACUGUUUGAAUUUACUAGUCAAUAAUAAAACUGAACUUUAAAAAAAACUCCUUUGUGAUAACUCAUUGUUCUCUGUUCACAACUGACAGCCACUGUGAUCUUUGUGUAUAGUUAUGCUCAAUUGGAUGAUUUGCCUCUAGUUUCACAUACCUC